UUUUGUUUAGACUUCGUGGGAUUUCCCCUGAUGGAUGACGAGCUAUCCAGUCUUAAGGAUGAAUAUAUACUGAAGACUCCGUUGCCAUGUCCCUGGCAUACGUAAUGAGGCGAGUAACUUGCCACGAGGGUGUCUGCCACUCGCCACACUGGAGCAUGUUUUGAAUACAAGGUUAGUAAGGGGUUUACUCUUUAAAUGUGUGGAUGAAUAUGGCAAAGUAACUCUAAGCUAAAGGCAGCCAUGACUGCACGAGUACUUUGCAUCUAGUGUUAGUUCCCGAGUUGGCACGAUUCCUAAGGGUUUGCUCUUGUUCAUGGGCCAGAUUCUCCAACUACGUGCCAGAGGAGUUGGGGAGACGUUGACUGUCAUGGCUUCCCCGUGCCUGCGACAGCCACUCUACUUUCCUACAUCACCCUCUUAGUUUUAGCUUUCCUGUCAGUUUUCAUUUGAGGUAAUUGUCCUUUGUAAUACGGACAGUCAUGGUUUGCAUUAUAUGUUUGUUUCCAGGAUUGUUGGUGCAUAGGAUGUUCCUCUGGCUUUCUUGGCAUGUGCAGUAUAGAAGGCCUCAAGGUACGUGUCAACAUUUGUAGUAUAACCUCACACUUAUGCCAUAUGUCACAGCUUCUGUUGUACUGAUGGGAUGUUGUGAACUAGGCACUGAUCAAUGAUCGAAAACUUACUGUGUGGACUGUUGGAUGAAGCUUACGGAUAUGGGACUGAGAUCAGAUGUGUUUGACGUGUGUGUGUGUCUGUGUGUGUGUGUCUGUGUGUGUGUUGGAAUGUGUUCUGAUCUAUGUCCAUCUCCUCAGGUAUGGGACCUUUGGUGAGUCUUAGGCCCCGACGGGAGUCUCUACUGCCUCAUGGUGGCAGUCACACUCAUAAGGGCGUAAAGAACUAUUUUACAGACGGUCGCUGUUCAGUUGACCCGUAGCUGUAUCGGCAACAUUAAGGAAAGGUACACUUACCACAGGUUAUGCAAAAUGUGAUCUAGUUGAAGUAGAUUGUGGUAUUAAUAUGGUGGUUUUUGUUUAGACUUCGUGGGAUUUCCCCUGAUGGAUGACGAGCUAUCCAGUCUUAAGGUAAGGCAGGACGACAUCUAGGGCUUCAAUAAGUCUGGCAUUGAUGACAAACUUGCCCUCACUGAGCGUUUUCUAAACCCGAUAAUGAUCCAUUAUAUCUGAGCCAGAUAUGCCAACAAUGGUUUUACAUUUGCUUUAGUGCUUUUGCUAAACGUUGCUUGUGUGUCCAUAGGAUGAAUAUCUACUGAACACUCCGUUGCCAUGGCCCUGGCAUGCGUAAUGAGGCGAGUAACUUGCCAUGAGGGUGUCUGCCACUCACCAAACUGGAGCACGUUUUGAAUACAAGGUUAGUAAGGGGUUUACUCUUUUGUGUGGUUGAAUAUGGCAAUAAAGUAACUGAGCUGUAGGCAGCCAUGACCGCACCAGUACUUUGCAUCUAGUGUUAGUACUCGAGUUGGCACGAUUCCUACGGGGCUGCUCUUGUUCAUGGGCCAGAUUCUCCAACUACGUGCCAGAAGCGCUUCCAUGCCUGCGACAGCCACUGUACUUUCGAAACAUCACCCUCUUAGUUUUAGCUUUCCAGUCAGUCUUCAUUUUAGAUAAUUUCCUUUGUAAUACGGACAGUCAUGGUUUGCAUUAUAUUUUUGUUUCCAGGAUUGUUGGUGCAUAGGAUGUUCCUCUGGCUGUCUUGGCAUGUGCAGUAUAGCAGGCCUCAAGGUACGUGUCAACAUUUGUAGUAUAACCUCACACUUGGCCAUAUUACACAGCUUCUGUCAAACUGAUGGAAUGUUGUGAACUAGGCACUGAUCAAUGAUGUGACUUUUUUUCUUUGUGGACUGUUGGAUGAAGCUUACGGAUAUGGGACUGAGAUCAGAUGUGUUUGACAAUUAAGUGUGUGUGUGUGUUGGAAUGUGUUCUGAUCUAUGUCCAUCUCUCCUCAGGUAUGGGACCUUUGAUGAUUUCCCUUCCGAGGCUGUGGGUUCAUUUCAAGUUACUGAAGCCACACCCCAACUGAAAUAAAUAUAUUUGGGCUUUAAAUGGUUGUCUUGACUUAACUUGACAGGCAUGCAUUUCUGCAUCGACCCUUAUCAACUGUUGAUUCUGUUUUGAUUCCUUUAUUUAACUUGAUUAGGUGCUCUAUCCAAUAAAAGGGUGAACAGAUUUGGUGCAGGUCAGUUAGCUCUGUUAUGCCAAAAGUACUUGCAGGCAGUACAAAGGGUUUUCUGUAUUAUCAAUAAUGGGUGACUGAACAGUGACUUGUGUAAAAUUGAAAGGGACAACACCAGUAAGGAAGUUCAACACCUGGGCAUUUAUUCUAUUUCCAUACAACCAAAUGCCACUUGUGGUUUACACACUAAACUAGUCAAUCAUUGCAUGGACAAGGCUAAUGGGCUUGUCUGGAUCAGUCCUUGACUUCCAUCCUAAUGUACUGUCAAUGGAGGAAUGCCACAUCCCAUCAUGAUCAAACUACUGUUGCUGAUGAAUGCAUAUCUGUUCAUGAGUUCAUAAAGUACAGGAUUGGGUUCAACUCUUGAAACAGGAGAUUUGGCAGAAACGGCAAUUUAACUUAUUGGUCCUAGUGAUCCUGGAUCUCAAAUUAUCUGAUGAGACGAUCUCUUCACCCUACAUGCACCAGCCAGCACCUGUGAAGUGCAAGGCGCCGCUUGUGAUGUACUAGACAGGUAUGUAGACAGACUAUCGAUACGGAGCUGUAAACUUGAACACAUCUGCAAGCAUGAACGAAGACUCAGACCACCUGAUGUCUAAUCUUAGGAUUCCACUUCUGUAACACACACACACUUAAGGUUAUAAGCACGGAAAUCAGGGCCAGAUGUUUCCAGAGUCGACAGCAACUGGGGAAAACUUUGACGACAUGGAACCGUUGAGUGUGACUAGCCCACCAAAACCUAUCCCUGAAGGUAUCCUCUGACUUUGCGCCAGAAAUACUGCUGAUAGCCCAAAUAAAUAACUUAAUACCUGCACAUUCAUUCAGAUAUUACUUUUUUUGUUAAUCUCAGUUCACAUAAAGUAAGAAUACAGACUUCACACAUCCAAUGAAGGCAAACAGAUUCAGGAAAUGCACCAUAAGCCCUCCAAUUGAACCAAAUGUCUGAAAGUUUUUGACUAGCGGCAAGAACACCGGCUAGUGUUUAACAGCAGAGGUGAUAAUUCUCGAGUUUCCUAGUGGUAAGGAGACAUUGAAGAAAAAAUAAAAAUCUCGUUUCUAUACAAAUAUAAAAACUAAAAAAGAAAAAGAAGGCAUUUAAAAUCUGAGGUCCACAUUCCCCAUGAUUUCCAUCCCUGUCCGUCAAUGCAUCCUGGUCGCUGUAAAACUCUCCACACCACUAGAAGACAGAAAUAGCAGUAAAUUAGAUUGUGGCCAGGACAAGGAAGCUUACAUACAAAUGUAUUCACCAAUACAUAUGACUUGCACAGUACAGGUAGUAUGCAUACAUAUGUACAAUCACCUGUGCUUUAGUCUCGCACUCUAGUG
ensembl:lncRNA